rnacentral:miRNA from 1 species
AGGCAGUGCACUUGCUAGCUGGCUGU